rnacentral:rRNA from 1 species
UACGGAGGGUGCGAGCGUUGUCCGGAAUCAUUGGGCGUAAAGAGCUCGUAGGCGGUUUGUCGCGUCGGCCGUGAAAACUUGGGGCUUAACUCCAAGCUUGCGGUCGAUACGGGCAGACUUGAGUUCGGCAGGGGAGACUGGAAUUCCUGGUGUAGCGGUGAAAUGCGCAGAUAUCAGGAGGAACACCGGUGGCGAAGGCGGGUCUCUGGGCCGAUACUGACGCUGAGGAGCGAAAGCGUGGGGAGCAAACCGG